rnacentral:lncRNA from 1 species
GACCUGGAUUUGGUUCUUAGACGCAUGUAAAAGCUUACAGUUGCCAAUAAUUGCAGACCAUACACACAAUGUGCAUACGUGCGUGCAAGCAACACACUUAUACACAUAAAACAGAUUUUUUUUUAAAGACUUUGUGUAUGAAUGUUUUGCCUGCAUGUAUAUAUGUGUACACAUGCCCACAGAAGUAAGAAGAAGGUGUUGGCUCUCCUAGAACAGAGUUACAGAUGAUGGAACCCACCAUGUUGGUCUAGGAAUUGAACUCUGGUCCUCUUCAAGAGCAACCAAUGCUCUUAACCACUGAACUAUCUUUCGAGCCCCUGAAACAAACCUUAAAACAAAAAGAAAAAGAAAAAAGCUUUGCAGGUAUAACCUGAAAAACAUAAAGGCCUCUUGGAAGCAUUGAGACGGUCUGCCAGCUAGGACAGAUGGCACAGGCCUAUAAUCUCAUCUACUUGGGAAGCUAAAGCAGGAGGAUUGCCUCAAGUUCAAGACUAGGCUGGCCUGUAUAGCAAGAUCCUAUCUCACAAACAAACAAACCACUCUUCCUAGCAAGGCCUAGGGACAGUGGCUUAUACUCUCAACUACUUGGAAUGCUAAAGUGGGAGGAUCACUAGUUCAAAGCCUUCCUGGGCUACAGAGUGACUUAAAGGGCAAUCUACGCUAACUUAAUGAGAUCCUGUCUCAAAAGUAAAAAGGCUUGGGACUGUAGUUCAGUGGUAAAGUGUUGAGCAAGCUUAGCCCUUUGUUCAUGUCUUAGUUAGGUCUUCUAUUGCUUUGAUGAAACACUAUGACCAAAACCAAGUUGGUGGGGAAAAGGUUUAUUUAUUUGGAUUACAGUUCCAUAUGAUAAUCCAUCAUUGAAGGAAGUCAGGGCAGGAACUCAAACAGGACAGGAACCUGAAGGCAGGAGCUGAAGUGGAAGCCAUGGUGGGCGCUGCUUACUGGCUUGCUCAGCCUGCUUUCUUAUAGAACCCAUGACCACCAGCCCAGGGGUGGCACCAUACACAAUGGGCUAGGCCCUCCCCUAUCAGUCACUCAUUAAGAAAAUGCCUUAAAGCUAUAGCUUGUGGGGGCAUUGUUUUCAAUUAAUAGAGAAUUAAUAUUCCCUAUUUUCAGAUAACUUUAACUUGUGUCAAGUUAGCCGAAAACUAGAUAGCACAGUGCAAUUUCCAGUAAUG